UUGUCUUCUUUGUAUAUUCUUAUGGUAUUAGUUUUGCCACACUGGCCGCUACAGUGUCUCAUGUUGUAUUUUUUCAUGGACGCACAAUCUGGGAACAAACAAGAUCAGCAUUGGGGGAUAAGUUAAGUGAUGUUCAUUGUAGAUUGAUGAAGAAAAACUACAAAUCAGUCCCACAAUGGUGGUUUUACAUGCUGUUGAUUAUUGUAAUCGGACUCACCGUGCUUAUUUCCGAAGGCUUUGGCAGACAAUUCCAACUCCCGUACUGGGAUUCCUUUUGGCGAUUGUCUCGGCUAUGUUCUUCACUCUCCCGGUUGGCGUGAUUAUGGCUACCACGAACCAGCAACCGGGACGAAAUGUCAUUACUGAGCUGAUUAUCGGUUACAUUUAUCCCGGAAAACCACUGGCAAAUGUUGUUUUCAAGACCUACGGCUAUAUAAGCGCGGCGCAGGCAAUAAUGUUUCUGCAGGCCACUAUAUGAAAAUUCCUCCAAAGUCGAUGUUUGUUGUGCAGCUGGUCGGAACAGUGGUGGAGUCUUGUGUCUAUUUCGGGACUUCUUGGUGGCUGCUCACAACAGUGGAGAAUAUCUGUGAUCCAUCUAAACUGCCACAAGGAAGCCCCUGGACAUGCCCUGGAGAUGACAUAUUC